UUUUUAGUAGUUAAAAUCUAA
rnacentral:piRNA from 1 species